rnacentral:rRNA from 1 species
UACGGGGGGAGCAAGCGUUGUUCGGAUUUACUGGGCGUAAAGGGCGCGUAGGCGGCGUAACAAGUCACUUGUGAAAUCUCCGGGCUUAACCCGGAGCGGCCAAGUGAUACUGUUGUGCUAGAGUGCGGAAGGGGCUACUGGAAUUCCUGGUGUAGCGGUGGAAUGCGCAGAUAUCAGGAGGAACACCAACGGCGAAGGCAGCUCGCUGGGACGGUACUGACACUGAGGCGCGAAAGCGUGGGGAGCGAACAGG